rnacentral:tRNA from 1 species
GGAGGGGUGGCAGAGUGGUCGAAUGCGCGUGCUUGGAAAGCACGUAUAGCCGCAAGGCUAUCGGGGGUUCGAAUCCCCCCCCCUCCGCCA